rnacentral:rRNA from 1 species
ACCUGCCUUACACAGGAGAAUAGCCUCGGGAAACUGGGAUUAAUGCUCCAUGACAUAUCUUGGUCGCAUGGCUGGGAUAUCAAAGUGAUAGCGGUGUAAGAUGGACUCGCGUCUGAUUAGCUAGUUGGUGGGGUAAAGGCCUACCAAGGCGACGAUCAGUAGCCGGCCUGAGAGGGUGAACGGCCACACUGGAACUGAGACACGGUCCAGACUCCUACGGGAGGCAGCAGUGGGGAAUAUUGCACAAUGGGGGAAACCCUGAUGCAGCGACGCCGCGUGAGCGAAGAAGGUUUUCGGAUCGUAAAGCUCUGUCCUUGGAGAAGAUAAUGACGGUAUCCAAGGAGGAAGCCCCGGCUAACUACGUGCCAGCAGCCGCGGUAAUACGUAGGGGGCGAGCGUUGUCCGGAAUUACUGGGCGUAAAGGGUACGCAGGCGGUUUCAUAAGUCAGGUGUAAAAGGCAUUGGCUCAACCAAUGUAAGCAUUUGAAACUGUGAGGCUUGAGUAUAGGAGAGGUAAGUGGAAUUCCUAGUGUAGCGGUGAAAUGCGUAGAUAUUAGGAGGAACACCAGUGGCGAAGGCGACUUACUGGACUAUAACUGACGCUGAGGUACGAAAGCGUGGGGAGCAAACAGGAUUAGAUACCCUGGUAGUCCACGCUGUAAACGAU